rnacentral:rRNA from 1 species
CCUACGGGAGGCAGCAGUGAGGAAUAUUGGUCAAUGGACGGAAGUCUGAACCAGCCAUGCCGCGUGCAGGAAGACGGCUCUAUGAGUUGUAAACUGCUUUUGUACAAGGGUAAACCUGAAUACGUGUAUUCAGCAGAAAGUACUGUACGAAUAAGGGUCGGCUAACUCCGUGCCAGCAGCCGCGGUAAUACGGAGGAUCCAAGCUUUAUCCGGAUUGAUUGGGUUUAAAGGGUGCGUAGGCGGAUUGAUAAGUUAGAGGUGAAAUGUCCGAGCUUAACUCGGGAACUGCCUCUAAUACUGUUGAUCUAGAGAGUAGAUGCGGUAGGCGGAAUGUAUGGUGUAGCGGUGAAAUGCUUAGAGAUCAUACAGAACACCGAUUGCGAAGGCAGCUUACCAAUCUAUAUCUGACGUUGAGGCACGAAAGCGUGGGGAGCAAACAGGAUUAGAUACCCCUGUAGUC